rnacentral:pre_miRNA from 1 species
AAAUCGUCCCCUAAGUUUUGCAACUGUAGUAGUUUUGGCCCCCCAAAGCAAAAAAUAAAAUAAAAAAAUAACACGUGACACCUCACUUAGGGGGCCACGUCAGUGUAGACCGAGUCAAAAUUACAUAUGGGGGCCAAAACUGCCACAUGUGCAAAACUUAGAGGGCGAUUU